CAUCGCCGCGAGAGGAUAAGGCCCGGGGCGCCUCGGUCAUCUCCCCCGCGCCUCACUCUCUCCUCUGUCACCCCACUCCCCUCUGGGCUCUCUCCAGAUCCCCUUUCCCUCCACCUCCACGACGCACUCGUCGCCGGCCACUUCGCCCCGCCGCAACCACCGCCGUCCCCGCACCUCGUCGACACAUCUACGAGCUCCACCGUCGCCCUCUACAUCGACUGGUGCCGCCCGUUGGAGCUCCUCAGCUCUGCAUCGCGAGAUCGCCGUCGUCUUCUUCCUCUUCGGUCGCCGGCGUCGGCGUCGAUUCCGGCGAAGCCUGCAGCACCUAAGCCUCCCAACGGCCACCGUGUGCCUCCCGAUGACGGAGCCCUUGAGACCGCUGCCCCCACCGACGACUACUACUACUACUACUACUACCCCGAGGGUGCCUACUGCUACGUGACGGACGCCGGCGGCCAGAAGUAGUUAGGAGGCUCCCAGACAGGAGGCCUUGCCUUUUCGAUCGUAGAUACUUUUGUGCUGGCCUUCUUAAGGCAAACUUGUUUAACUUAUGUCUAUACUCAGAUAUUGUUGCUUCCGCUUACUAGUUUGUAUUCAAGCUGAUGUAUUCGAGCCCCGAGGCCCCUGGCUUGUAAUAUAAAGCUUGCAUUAUUUUAAUUUGUAUCUCGAGUUG